rnacentral:rRNA from 1 species
GGCGUCGCGGUUAAGCGGAAUGGGCCGUGGACCAGGACCGUGCAUUUCAGAGUGGGCCGUGGGACAAGACGUCAGCUUUUUUGUCUGGGCCUGGAACAGAUAAGGAAUCCAGGACAGGGUUCGCUGUCUGAGCUGCUUCCGGCUCAUUCUAGAGGCCUCUCGCCGCCGUCAAAGACAAAUACGCAGGAGAGGUCACCGGGGCCGCUUUAGCGUGGUGCCGCGCGGGUUCUGUCGCUUUUGCUUCACCGUUGGCCUAGCUGCGGAUGGACACUGAGGGAAUGGAAUUCCUACUGGAUGUGGUCGACAGGUUCCCAGUGCGGGAGGAGUAUGCAGAUAAUGUUGACCAUCCGGAUCCAGUCUUGCUCAUGUACCUUCUGGAUAAGGGGGCUGCGAGUCCGGAGAUUGGUCAGGCAGACGUUGAUUCUGGGGUAGCUGAGAUGGUGUGCGGAGGUGUGCUAACUGACGCUGAAGUAGGUGCCCCCCGUAGACGUGAUGAAUCUCCGACGAGGUCUGCCCAAUCAUCAGGCAGAGUCAAUCCACAGGCCCCGGCUGGACUAAGAGGGGAAACCAGACGCUGAAAACAGCAGGUCCUGCAGGUGCAAGUGCCCAGCUCUGACCAGGCUGCUAUGUGCAUCAGACAACAGUUGGUACAUAACAGAGCACCGGGCGAGCCACAAUCAUUCGAUGUCGCUUACAAUGGGAGAGAAAGUGCAUUGGCCGUCUCAUAAACACAUAGACGUGUAUACCAAGGAUUUGAUAAGAUAGUUGAGGGAGAACAACAUCAACCUUGGCAAGGUAUACAACAUAAUUGGAAUCUUCUUUGGUUCAGUUGAGAAGGUGCCCUUUACGAAAAGGACACUCAGGAACAUUUGUGGGAAGAUUAGUCGUGAACAGGCUGAAGAUGAAUUACGGAAGACACUGCAGGUGUUUGCCGACAUCUGGUCGAGUGACCCUGGUUUCUCCUAUGUGGUGCUCGCCGAGAAAGACAGCAAGGUGAAGAAUCUCAUGUGGGCUAAUGGGAGCAGACGGAUGCAGUACAGGUUCUUUGGCGACGUGGUCACAUUCGACACCACAUACAGGACAAAUUUGUACGACAUGCCAUUAUGUUUAUUUGUCGGAGUUAACAAUCACUACCAGAGUAUCAUCCUGGCUGGCGUGCUGAUGCAUGACGAGCAAGAAGAGAGCUUUGAAUGGGUGUUUUCAGAAUUCAUUCGCAUGAUGGGCGGACCUGCACCUAAAACAAUACUAACAGACCAAUGCAGGGCUAUGGAGGUUGCAAUCAAGAAAAUUUAUCCGAACACUGUCCACCGUUUGUGCAAGUGGCAUGUUCUGAAAAAGGCGAAAGAAACACUGGGGUGGCUUUACACAAAAAAAUGUGAUUUUCAAGCUGAAUUUCACAAAGUUGUUAACCACAUGCUAACUGAGGAAGAAUUUGAAUCAGCCUGGGAUGUGCUGCUUGAUAAAUACAAUUUGAGGGGGCAUAACUAUAUGACCCAAAUAUAUGAGACAAAACAUAAAUGGGCGAAACCAUAUUUCAGAGGUGUGUUUUGUGCGAAAAUGAUGAGUACACAGAGGAGUGAGAGUGCAAACCACAUGCUGAAGACGGACAUGCCCCCUGCAAGCCCAAUGCAUGUUUUCGUCUGACAAUACAUGAGACUUCAAUUUGACCGGAAGCGCGAUGAAAGCUAUGAGGAAAAGAGGACAAUGAUUGGCGGCGUCGUGCGGCGGACUAACCUUGCGAUAGAGCGCCAUGCCAGCAAAAUAUAUACUAGGAAUAUGUUUGAGAAAUUUGGCCGCCUACCGGUAGAAGGAACAGCAGAGUUGUGCUGUCCUUAUUUGAAACGACGCAGAGUUGUGUCGUUGAGCACAUGUAAGGUUAUAUGCUUUUCUGAACAAUUUGUUAGCUAAACUGAAUUUUACUCCUGGCUGUAUGAUAUGAUAAGAAAUCGUAACCGUUUGUGUUCUUGAAAUGUUUAUGGUUGUCUGCACAAUUUGAUAACUGAAGAAAAUUUCAC